rnacentral:rRNA from 1 species
UACAGAGGGUGCAAGCGUUGUUCGGAAUUAUUGGGCGUAAAGCGCGUGUAGGCGGCCAAGCAAGUUGGGUGUGAAAGCCCUCGGCUUAACCGAGGAAGUGCGCCCAAAACUACUUGGCUUGAGUACCGGAGAGGAUGGCGGAAUUCCCGGUGUAGAGGUGAAAUUCGUAGAUAUCGGGAGGAACACCAGUGGCGAAGGCGGCCAUCUGGACGGAUACUGACGCUGAGACGCGAAAGCGUGGGGAGCAAACGGG